rnacentral:rRNA from 1 species
AUUCCAGCUCCAAUAGCGUAUAUUAAAGUUGUUGCGGUUAAAAAGCUCGUAGUUGGAUCUCGGCGGGCAGGGGGUGGUUCGCUCUUCAGCGCUACUGCCCCGCUUUGCCCGUGUGAUUGGCGGAGGUUUCGGGGUGCUCUUCGUUGAGUGACUCGGAGCGCCGUCAGGUUUACUUUGAAAAAAUUAGAGUGCUCAAAGCAGGCUUUUCACGCUUGAAUAUUCGUGCAUGGAAUAAUGGAAUAGGAACUCGUUUCUAUUUUGUUGGUUUUCGGAAAUCGGGUUAAUGAUUAACAGGGACAAUUGGGGGCAUUAGUAUUCAGACGACAGAGGUGAAUUUCUUGGAUUUUGAUCAGACGAACUACUGCGAAAGCAUUUAUCAAGGAUGGUUUCAUUA